AAGGCUUUAAGUUAAUUAAACUUUCAACCUUCAAAGUUAAAUAUAUCAAAUUAUUGAUAAGUCUUA
rnacentral:tRNA from 1 species